rnacentral:rRNA from 1 species
UACGUAGGGGGCAAGCGUUGUCCGGAAUUAUUGGGCGUAAGGAGCGUGUAGGCGGCCAGAUAAGUCCGCUGUGAAAUCUCGAGGCUCAACUUCGAGCUGUCGGUGGAAACUAUCUGGCUAGAGUCCGGAAGAGGAGAAUGGAAUUCCUGGUGUAGCGGUGAAAUGCGCAGAUAUCAGGAAGAACACCCGUGGCGAAGGCGGUUCUCUGGGACGGUACUGACGCUGAGACGCGAAAGCGUGGGGAGCGAACAGG